rnacentral:lncRNA from 1 species
GGACUUCGGGCCCUCUGUGAGCCUGUGUCCGCCAAGCCGAUGGAGCUGUGUUUGGGGUCUCUCGUCUUUGGCAGCGGCUGGGGCCAAAGCCCGGGCAAGACCAAGGCCUUCGGCACCCGGACUCAGGCUCCGUCCUCUCUGCCAGCGUGCGGCUACAAUGACUUGACAUGGCAGGCCACUGCCUUCAGAGAAGGUGACAGAGGACCAUGUCUGAAACAUUCUCCCACAACCAGGAACCGUCAGCAGCCGCUGAAGAGGAAAGGCAGUUAAAUGGAAAGACUUCUGAGCAAGUGGAGGAAAAGACACCUGUGACCUAGGGAGGGGCUCCCGCAGGAAGGGGCAGUGCCCUUGCCCUGUUCACCUAGCCUCUAGGUGGCUCCCCACUUGAAAUUUCGGAGGAUGGCAGAAACCUACUUGCAAGGAAAUGAAAGAGGGCACGGCAACCUUAAGACCAGAGCAGCCCACGAUAUUUUUUAAUGAGGGCAAAAAUAGACCUGC